UUAUGUAUGGUCUUGUAGUCAUUUAUCGCAGGCUGAUGUACAUAUGGUUUAUCUAAAUGAUGUGGACUAGUGGGCCAAGCAGUGAAGGAUGUCAAGGAGCAGAUUACAUGGUGAUGUGAUCGAUUAGCUUCUGUCCUGUCACUGACUAAACGUGCAGUUGCUGAAUGUUUAAGUAGGUUCUCAGAGAAAAUAAUGAAGACCAUCUUUGCCAAAUGUUAUGUCUCCCUGAGGAUGAUGUGUAAAAGCAUUGUUUGUCAUGUGUGUGUGUGGAUUCCACUUUCAAUUGCGUCUGCUGAGACAUGGUCGAUUCUAAUUCCUGCUGCAGUUCACAAAU